rnacentral:rRNA from 1 species
AUUGAACGCUGGCGGCAGGCCUAACCCAUGCAAGUCGAGCGAGCGGCGGACGGGUAAGUAAUGUAUGGGGACUGCCCGAUAGAGGGGGAUAACUACUGGAAACGGUGGCUAAUACCGCAUACUGUUGGAUAACCCAUAUGGGAUUAGCGAGUAGGUAAGGGAAUGGCUUACCUAGGCGACGAUCCCUAGCUGGUCUGAGAGGAUGAUCAGCCACACUUGGACUGAGACACGGCCCAGACUCCUACGGAGGCAGCAGUGGGGAAUAUUGCACAAUGGGCGCAAGCCUGAUUCAGCCAUGCCGCGUGUAUGAAGAAGGCCCUAGGGUUGUAAAGUACUUUCAGUCGGGAGGCGUUACCGACAGAAGAAGCACCGGCUAACUCCGUGCCAGCAGCCGCGGUAAUUC